rnacentral:lncRNA from 1 species
ACCCUAUGAAGCUUUAUAUGGAAGAAAAUGUAGAACACCUUUAUGUUGGGAUGAAGUCGGAGAAAGACAAAUGUUAGGACCCGAGAUAAUUCAACAAACAACUGAAAUCAUCAGAAUUAUUCGUCAACGUUUACAAGCGUCUCAGGAUCGAUAAAGAAAAUAUGCAGAUCCACAUCAUCAACAACGAAACUUUAGCGUAGGAAGUCACAUAUUCUUGAAAGUAUCUCCUUGGAAAGGCA